CAUGGCCUACGGGAGGCAGCAGUGAGGAAUAUUGGUCAAUGGCCGAGAGGCUGAACCAGCCAAGUCGCGCGAGGGAAGACGGCCCUACGGGUUGUAAACCUCUUUUGUCGGGGAGCAAAGAGAGUCACGUGUGACUCAUUGAGAGUACCCGAAGAAAAAGCAUCGGCUAACUCCGUGCCAGCAGCCGCGGUAAUACGGAGGAUGCGAGCGUUAUCCGAAUUUAUUGGGUUUAAAGGGUGCGCAGGCGGAGGUGCAAGUCAGCGGUCAAAUUGCGGGGCUCAACCCCGUACUGCCGUUGAAACUGC
rnacentral:rRNA from 1 species